UUUCGCGCGCUUUUUCACCUGUUGCUUUGAAUAUAUGUAUCGCAUAUGUAUAAUAUUGUAACAAAGUUAUUUAAGUGUUAUUUUAAUGAUUAAAUAGUUAUUUUAUUGUUUAUUGAUAUAUAGCAGUGUUUUCGUUUGAUAAAAAUAGUUCAUUGUUAGAAUUUUAUCCUACAACGUGCACUAUUUUGGAGUUUCUAACCUCUAAAACCGGAAUAUUCAUAUUUCAAGGUAUUAUAGCAACUGGAUGAUCAUUCUAUUAAUAUUACUUGCUGCAGUUGGUUUAAAAACAUUCUAAUGCAAUAAUGGCAGAUUAUAUAUCUGCUGAAUUAGCAGCCACUUGUGCUGCAUUGGGCUAUUACGAUGGAAAAAAGUAUUAUUUGGACAAACAUUGUCUAGAUGUUAUAAAGGAUUUGAUAAAAUACUUAAAAAGGGAUGACGAUGUUCAUACUAUACGUCGUUAUCUUGGCCAGGCAAAAUUACUUCAAUCUGAUCUCAUAAGAAUUUUUAUACAACACUUUGAUAAACUUGAAUUAUGGGAUGUAUUAUUAAGGUUAAUUAUUAAUUUAACAAGUCCUGCUUUAUUAAUUUAUAAUGAACAAAUACCUAUGGAGAAAACUAUGCGUAGUUUCUAUUUACAAAUAAUAUCACAUUUGCAAAGUUAUAAAGUGGCUUUAGCAGAUGAUCAAGUAUGGACAAUAGUUAAUAAUCGCUUGACCUCAAUCUUUAGUAUUGAUAAUAUGGAAAGAGGGGAAGAGAAUGAAAUGAUUAUUGAAAGAAUUUUAGCAUUAAUCAGGAAUAUACUUCAAGUUCCUCCUGAUGAAAAUGAAAAGCGCCCUGAUAAUGAUGCUACAGUUCAUGAUCAGGUAUUAUUCGCACUUCAUGCAUCUGGUAUAGUAGACAUAUUACUCUUUAUUGCAAGUAGUGCUAAAGAACAACAAUAUCAUAUGCAAAUUUUAGAGAUCAUAUCAUUAAUGUUACGUGAUCAGAGUGCAAGUCAAUUGGCAUCAGCAGGUUUGCAGCGUAGUACAAUAGAAAAGGAAAAGGAUGAAGCACAGUUACUAUCUAUACGACAGAAAGAAAAAUUGGAAAAAUUUGAAAAAUUAAAGAAGUACGCUGGUGCUAGGCAUUCACGUUUUGGCGGUACUUACGUGGUACAAAAUAUGAAGGCAAUCGGAGAUAAUCAAAUGUUAUGUCACAAACCUUAUGAAAAAGUCGAGGCACUCGAGUUCAAUUCCCAAAAGACGAAAGUAAAGAAACCGAAGAACAAAUUGGCGAUGCAGGAUUCAAUGAACGAACGAAGAUCAGCAUUAAGCGUAAGACUUUUCUUGAAAGAAUUUUGCGUGGAAUUUCUUAAUGGUGUAUACAAUCCAGUAAUGAAACACGCAAAGUCCUGCGUUAUCAGUGACGUUCAAUGUGAUUCAGCAGAGAGCAGUUGUUAUCUCUGGGCAUUACGUUUUUUUAUGGAAUUUAAUCGAUGUUACAAGUUUCAAGUAAAAUAUGUGAGCGAAACGAUAUCCACGGAAAUAUUUUAUAUAAUACAAAGACAAAUGAAUCAGUAUUAUGAGAUGAUCGUUACCGAUAAGGAGAGGAUACCGAUAUGGUCUCACAGAUUGCAUUUGGCUUUGAAAGCAUAUAAGGAACUCCUUCAUACCUUAAUGGCGAUGGAUAAAAGUCCGGAUCAAGAUAUAAGAGAAUCUAGUAAGGUCAUUAAAAGCAACGUGUUUUAUGUCCCGGAAUAUCGGGAAACGAUACUCUCUCAGCUUCUCAACUUCGAUGAACUUAAAAUGUCACGGAAAUACCUGAUCGACCUAGUAACGACCACCCACAUUUUUCUAAAGAUGUUGGAACAGUUUUGCGCCAAGGGACAACGAAGUCUCAUCGUGCAGAAGUUGAAGAAGAAGCGACACAAAAGUAGAAAGCAGAAAUCUGUAUCGCGGAAAGAAGAAGCACCUAACCCGAGCUUAGAAGAUCGUUGGGACGAUCUGGCACCGGAAUUAUCUGUGGUGAUGCAAGAUGGAGGCUCGAUGCCGGAAAUGAUGCCAUUUGAUGCAACACUUGAUACACCUGUCGACGAUCAAAAGAGUGAUGCAAUGAAGAGAAUUCAAAAACUAUUACGAUUGAAGCACUUUGAGAAUGCUGUUGGACUUUUGCGAGCUUGUCGAGAAGUCUGGCCGGAGAACGACUCCUUUGGAAGGGCUGAUAUACCGCCGGAGGAAGAAUUUCUAGCACUCCGCGAAAUCUUCUUUGCAGAUCUCGGUGUUGUAGAAAAUGACAUUCCGAUGCAACAGACAAGUAUGGAGAACAAUUUAGAAGAUAAUUUACCUCGCAACGAUGAACACGAGGAAGAUGAAGAGUAUGACGAUGGAGAGGAUGUCGUGACAGAGGAAACGGAUUUUAAAUUAAACGAAUUUGUGCAAAGAUUUGCAAAUAUAAAGAUCGUUAAAGCAUUGACCAUUCUUCUGCAACAAUUCAAUAAGAAUACUAACGAGGUCAAUCAUUAUGUCACGAAAAUGUUGCACAGAAUCGCUUGGGAGUGUAAAAUGCCUGCUAUGAUUUUUCAAGCAUCGAUAUUUCGAACUUUUCAAAAGAUCCUCGACUCGAAAUAUUCUGAGCACAAGGAGCUCCAAAAGUUCGCAAUCUUCAUAAUCCGUCGUUUCAUCGAAGUCGCGCAGAAGAACCGGAAGUCGUAUAUGGAGUUGCUCUUCUGGAAGAACACGCGCGACGCGACGCAAAUCGUCGAGGGUUACAAUACCGAGACGGAUAAGAAGAAAGUUUUGCGUGGUGUUUGGACGGAGGAGGAGGAGGACGAGUUACGAACCCUCUUCAUGGAACAUCAGACUAACAAGCCUUCGGAAGAUCUGAUCGAUUGGAUACUCAACAGACUCAUCAACGAAACUCGCACACGUCGUGGUGUUAUUAAGAAACUGAAAGAGAUGUGCUUAGUCGUCAAUUCCAAAGCUGUAAGAAACGAGAUACAGAAGAGGUUACCCAAGGAAUGGUCCGAAGAGGAGAUCUCUCAACUCACAGAACUUUGGGAACAAUUGAGAGAGGAUGAAGAUCCAGUGGAACUUAUUUACAACGGUUUAAGAAUAAAACGAACAAAAUUGAAGAUCAAAGAAAAGCUUUUAGAAUUGGGACUAGUCAAGGAUCGAAAGGAACUCUAUAAAAAGCGAUCUAAAAAAAGUAAUCACGGAAAAUCGUCGUGGGAAACACAGUCUGGCAGUAAUUCUGACGAGGAGGAUCGGGACUCCGAGGAAGAAAGUACAAAAUCCUCGGGGCGUAACGACGUGGCUCGAAGUAAACCAACGAAAAAGAGAACGACGACGACUACUACGACGACUACUACGACGACAACGACGAAGACGAGGACGAGGAUGACGAAGCAAGGAGAAAGGUCGAGAAAGAAGCGAGACCAAAAGACGUUCCUUUACACGGAUGCACAAUUAUCUGGACUCUUGAAGGACGUCAUCGAAGGAAAUAUGAAGGAGUCAUUGGAAUGGAUCAAGGAAUCCUUAGAAGAUGCUUUGGAAGAUCGGGAUGAGGAAAGCUCAGAAGGAAUCCCCUUGGUACCAUUGACAGAUUAUUCAUCAAAUGCAAUGAAUUCGACUAGUUUUCAAAAAUUACUACGCGCCAUGGGCAUAGUACCACCAGCGGACGAACAGGAAAUCUAUUGGCGAAUUCCAUCGAACAUGCUAUCAUCUACCAUACGAAAACGAUGUGUUCUUAUUGCCGAUUCGUUGGAAGGGAAAUUCAUUAUCGAAGAUUCGCCUGCGAAUAAUAUCGACAAUAAUAAAACUAAUUCAACCGAUGAAAGUGACAAUGACGGCAAUGACGACGUAUUCGAAAAUGUAAAAAAAUUUUUCGCGAAUAAAGAACCUAUACCAUCGACCUCACGUGAAUCGAAUGUACCAUUGAACAUGGAAAAAUCCGAAAGGUCGAAUAAACGUGAUAUAAAACCUGACGACACCGUCGAGCCAUUGGAAGAAGAGAAUGAAAAGAAUCAGGAAGAAACGGAGAGUAAUUUCCAAGCAAUCGAAAAUAUAAAAAAGGUUUCUAAAGGUCGCCUUAAAGUGCUUUUGGAUUCGUCUGAAUCUGAAACAGAAACUGAAAGGAAAGCAAAUGAAUCAGCAGACGAAGGUAAAAGAAAUCGAAGUCAAAGUUCCAACGAGGAAACUCCAUUGAGCAAAAAACCACGUUUAUUGGAUAGCGACGAAGAUUCUGAUGAAACGUUCAAAGUAAAAACAUCGAAAAAAUCUAAAAUUACUUUUAUAUCCGACAACGAGGAAGAUAAUCCAGAAGAAAUUCUGACUAACAACAAAUCUACGUCCUUACGAAUAAUCGAUAGUGACGAGGAGGAGAGCGUGACGGAAAAAAAAGGAAAUUCGAAGUCUACUCGAAAGAUAAUAAGCGACGACGAAGAAGACGAUUAAACGUUCAAGAUAUAAAUCUAAUAAGUGUUCUAAAUUAACAAUGUUUUUAUGUUACUAUAUGAUCGUAUAAAUUUUCAUAUAUAUUAUUUUUUGAAAAAAACAAAAAAAAGGAUACUCGAUGAUAAUCGGAAGAUCUGGGUUAACUACCUUACCAACUCGGUAAGAUAAGGUAGGUCCCUCUGCAUUAUUUUGAACUUUGGAUUGUUUAUUCUAACCUCUUUCCUUUACCCAAGAACUUCUGUACGAUCUCCUGGAGGAGUACGAAUUACGAUAUCCCUAUUAGGUUGGCCUUCGAAACGAGCGAUCGUUUACACCCGGGUUACACUUCAGGGUGCCAAGAAAAACAGUUCUCGAAAGGCGUCCACAUUUCGCCAAGUAACGACGAAGAGAACAUGCGAGCGUGGUGGUGGCGCUGCGAUCGUCAACGUAUUAUGUAUGCAUACAUAUAUACAUAUACACGUAGUUUCUUAAGCUCGUAGUAGAGAUAGCUUACUAGACAUAUCGAUGAUAUAUAUGUGUAUAUGUUUAUUGAGGAGAGAGGGAAGCACAGUCGUUUAACUUCCUCGCUCGCAUGUUAGCCGUGUAACCGAUUGGCCAAUGUGGAUGACUUUACGUCUUUUGAUGGGCAGGUGAGGAGUCUUGGCGAGUGUCAACGAUACAUACGCGUGUAUCGGUACGUGAUCGUAUUCUAGAAACCCAUCGACUUGCCUUGGCUUUAACUUUGGAUUAGAAAAUAAUAUUCGUUGGUGAACGUGCUUCCGUCGCGUCGACGGUGUUGGCUCCUCGUGAACACAACGUCGACGUCGACCUCGACGAACGUGUGGGACCAAAGCGUAAUGUCGCCGUAAAGGACUCUGCGAGUCGCGGAUACACGAUCAGGCGAUCAUACUUCUGCAAGUAAUCCUGGAAUCGAGUCUGUUUAUUCAGUUAUCUCAUUCAAAUAUCUCCAUUCAAGGUUUCAUAUUUCUUCAAUGGAAAACACGUACUCUUCGUCUUUCACGAUAUUUCGUCUUUUUCAAGAAAAAAUAACACACAUUUCGUCUAUCUUUUUUCAUUGAAUCGUAUCACGUCAUUUUACAACGUAUCAUUAAGCUUAAUUGCCAGUAGAGUACCUAUCGUCGAAGUUUCAACGUCGAUUCGCCCAAAAACUAAACGAUUUCCAGCGUACUAUUUUAAUAAUUUAUCAUUGAUGCUGAAUAACGAUGAGAAUUGAACGACGAUGAUUAAUGAAACAUUAAAUCUGAUGGCUUCAUUAACGAAAUGUAAUUAUGCUAUAAUUUUCUUUUUUAUGAACUUAUAUUAUAAUCUCGUAAAUAUGUUAAAAUUAUUCACAGAUAUUGCUCGAAUGAAUGAUCGUAUAAACAAAUGUUACUUUUUGAGAAAUGAUUUUCGUUGAUUUUCAUUAAUAUUAUUAACGUUUUCAUCGUUGAAAUAAUUUUUUUUCAUAUUUUUUCUGUCUUCUUUUUUUUCCUUAUCUAUGUUUGAUAAACAUUCUUGUUAAAAGUACGACGUAAUGGUAAAAGAACGUAGUAGUAAGAGAACGAAUUCGUUAAGAACUUCGUACCUUCGUAUAUAUAAACAGACCAAUAUACAUGCGCGAACACAUACAUACACACACACACACACACACCUAUACAAUAACGAGCUUUUCCACGUGAAAGUUUCUACACAAACAAGAGGACCAACUUUUUCGGGAGUAUCGAACCAACUCUACCGUUUCUCUCGGUGGCCCCUUCGUCCUCCACCCUUCCUCGUCCCUUUCCUAUCCCCAGCAUCCAACGUGGUCCCGGAGAACUCUACUUUGGUGAUGGUGUCCUGUCGCCCGUGUUGUCCGACUCGUUGCCAAAAUUUGGUAAUGAUUGAUGGCCAUUAAAGAGCGGGCCAAACCUUGUUCGAAACCUUCGUAAAAGCUAUUUGAAACUUACACAUGACCAAACGUGACGUUAAUUAUAUUUCGUGAUCUUUCUUUUGAUGCAAAAUCGGACAAGAACGUAGCUACGAGAUGAUGGUACCCUCGGCUUCGCUAGUGAAAAGAAUUUUUCGACAGAAAAAGAAUAAAAGAAAAAAAAAAAAAAAAAAAAAAAAAAAAAAAAAAUGAAUUAAUUUAAUUUUAUAUAUUUAAAAAAUAUUGUCAUGUUUCUUUUUCAUUGCUUUUAGUUAAACCAAUAAAUAAUACGUUAUUUAUAAAUUAUUUAGAUAUUCUCUGCUGUAACGUGACAAGAAACGUCUAAAAAGUUUUUGUACGUCAUUGAUUGUACAUAUUAAUGUUUCCGAAGGAUUAUGAUUUAAAUAUCUCUAUGUGUUUCUUUU